rnacentral:snoRNA from 1 species
CUGCAUCUAUUUGAUAGACCUGGAACAAUUACUGUCUGCUGCUAAGGUUUCUACUACAGAUGCAAGGAAAAAGUGUUCUAGCACUUUCUGUUUGAUUGUGGCAGCCAAGAUUAAAUGGAGGAAUAAAGGG